GAUGAACAACGUAGCGAAAUGCGAUACGUAAUGUGAAUUGCAAAUUCAGUGAAUCAUCGAGUCUUUGAACGCACAUUGCGCCCCCUGGUAUUCCGGGGGGCAUGCCUGUCCGAGCGUCAUUGCUGCCCUCAAGCACGGCUUGUGUGUUGGGCCCCGUCCUCCGAUCCCGGGGGACGGGCCCGAAAGGCAGCGGCGGCACCGCGUCCGGUCCUCGAGCGUAUGGGGCUUUGUCACCCGCUCUGUAGGCCCGGCCGGCGCUUGCCGAUCAACCCAAAUUUUUAUCCAGGUUGACCUCGGAUCAGGUAGGGAUACCCGCUGAACUUAAGCAUAUCAAUAAGCGGAGGA
rnacentral:misc_RNA from 1 species